CAGUCACAGACAUGACAUUACACCGAUACGUCGUUCGUUACUCAGUACUCACUACUUUAAACUUUAAAUUUCGAAAUUAAAAAGCUAAAAAAAAGAGAUCGGAUAAUAGGUUAACUGUUUUUAUGUAAUAGAUAACACAAUAAUGCAGCUAAUGAUUCUGACUGCAUUCUUGACUUAAUGUUUUCAGAUAAUUAUUAAUUUCAGCUGAAGUUUUCAUGUACCUACCAGGCCAACUAGGUGCUCGUGAUUCGUGAGUCAUGACAAUAGAAAUAAAACGGUCUAAUCCAAUAAUGCAAGCUCACAACCUAUUAUUUCUGUUGCAAGUUUCAAGGUAUUGAUGCUAUCGCCAGAUCCAAUUCUUUGCUGCUAUCUAUUUUGUGGACAAUAGCAAGAAAAUGCUGCUACUCAAGAUUUUAUGGUGACCACCACUUUGUUCUAAUUUAGGACAAUGUAAGAUAGAUAGAUUUGAGUUUAAUCCCUCUCUGCUGUUAUAGUUGUUUGGAAACCAACGAGAGAUUGCUGGAAUUGAAGACUGAUAAUUUGUGUAGACUUUAAGUUAUAUUACAAGUGCAUAUCUGGGCUCCCUUCUCUUCUGUGGCCCCGUUUCCCUAACUAACCACUAACCAACGCCCGCCGGUGGUCACUCACCCGCUGUGAUAACCAGGAGGAUGAGGAAGGCUCUGGUCAAACGGGUACUUGGAGGCUCGUGAUCUGAUGAAAACUUUUGGAGGGUUCCGAGUUUAACAGGAAUCCUACUAUGACUAAUCGCUCCCUAGCAAAACUGGCCUCGCACUCUUCUCUCUUCUUCAUUGGCCAGGUAAUCGCCCUGGUCGCAGUCAAUCAAGGACUUCAAGGUAGCGUUUCUCCCUGUCUUGAUUGAUUAUUUGUACCUGCAAGUCAAGUAUUGUCAUUUAUGUUUACGACCAUUGAAAAUUAGGUGGAAUGGAUACGUUAAAAAUGUAUGAAACAUUUUUAAUUAUACAAUAAUUUAUUUGGUUUAA